ensembl:lncRNA
UGGGGGUCUGGGUUUGGGGGAUUUGGACCAGGCACGGUGGCCACCUGCAGAGCAGACUGAACUGUGUAAUGAAAAGAGCACAGCCCUGCUGGGGACAGAGGGACAGGGGUGCGAUUGAUUCUUCUGGAAACUGAUGAGGGUUCAGACACAAUUAAAUCGUAGGGCAGAGCUGGGAGCUGUGUAUUUGUGUGUGUGUGUGUGUGUGAUUCACUGUUCUGUAGGAACCGUCUGUGCUGUGAUGUUGUUUGGUUGAUUUUGACUCUGAAUUUGUCUUCUCCUUUUGUUCUCAGCUAAAUUCUGAUCACAGUUUGAGGCCAGCAUGACUCCUGAACUUUGACCUGUCAGAUGACCUCUGCUCUGCUAAGCAGGUUCAUGGCAGGGACAGUGCAUGCUUGCCUGUUUCAUCUAUCAGAGCCUUUUUUUGGCACAUCAAUCCUUAGAAGAAGAAGAAGAAGAAGAAGAAGAAGAAGAAGAAGAAGAAGAAGAAGAAGAAGAAGAAGAAGUAGAAGAAGAAAGGGAAAAGAAAAGUGUGUGUGCAUAUUAGCGUUCAUGCAUUUAGGUGUGUGUGCUUUGUGUGUUUUUAUGAGAAACCUACACAAAUACAACCUCAAUACAAUCAAUAGAAUGUUUUAUUGUAUACCCAACGUUAAAACACUGUAUUGACUUGAUUGUGGCGAUACUGUCCACUUCACAAAUACCACACACACACACAAACGCACACAUGGUUGGACAGGAAACACAAAAGAGGGAUGUUUGAUGCUUUAUGUAUAAUCCACAAAAAUCCUGUUUUCACAACUCAAAUAGGACACACAAAAUACAUAUUUUACAGUCUAAUGAUGGAUAUUUGUGCAAAUAUAUAACAAAAUAAGCAUGCAAAAUAUCAUUAAUGUACAUACAAGUGUGAACUGAGAGAAGAAGCCAUGUUUGUUCCAGUCAACAUUUUAAAAGAAUUUACAAAAGACUUCUAGAUAUAUAGAUUAUUAUAAUAUUACUAGUUUAUUAAUAACAUAAUGAAUGUGUCAUUUCCGUAACUUUUCCCAAAAAAAGAAAAAAAGUCAGGAGAUAUUUGGAGUUACUUUGCCUCCUAGUGGUGAGAGAGAGAGAGAAAGAGAGAAAGAGUGUGUGUGUGUGUGUGUGUGUGUGUGUGUGUGUGUGUGUGUGUGUGUGUGUGUGUGUGUGUGUGUGUGUGUGUGUGUGUGUGGAUCAGAAUUUGCCUACAUUGUGAGGAACAAGAAGAACCGCAUGAAAUAAUCUACACUGUGAGGAGACAACAGUCCCCAUGAGAAUACAGCUUAAUGAACAUACUAAAUAAUGUCUUAAUAAAAAAAAUCUAAAUGCUAAACGGUUUGUGCGAGGGUUAGGUUUGUGUAUAGGGGAUAGAAAAAUUUUAUUAGCUUGGAAGUUAGUGUGUGUGUGUGUGUGUGUGUGUGUGAAAGAGAGAGAGAGAGAGAGAGAGAGAGAGAGAGAGAGAGUCAGAGUCAGAGUCCACAUUUCAGCCACAAAAUCACCACUUGAUCAUCUCAUUAUUAGAUAUCAGCACCACAGAUUUCACACAGUGAUUCAUUGGUUGAACUCUAGGUGAAUCUCAAUGGCAGUCACACUAGGAGAAUCCAUUGCUAGACCUUUUGGCACUUAGUAAAAUUUAACAAGCACAUUUUUAUGUUUAUAGGGCCAUGGAACGACAGGCAGGGUGUGAUUUUAGACCCAUGAGCUCCAUAACUCCUGACCUGAGAAGAGAGUGAGUGACUCACACACACACACACACACACACACACACACACACACCGAUCAGCUCCACCAAAACCACUGAGAUCAGGACUUCUGUGUGUAUUGACAAAUCACCAUUCCCUUUCACUGCAUCUUUCACACAAAGAAAGUGAAUAGUGACUGAGGCUGUCAGCCUGCCUAUCUCCUUUUGUAUUUCACAGAAGAAAGUACGUCAUACGGGUUUGGAAUGACGUGAGGGUGAGUGCAUGAUGACAGAUUUAGGGUGAAAUUUUCCUUUAAGGACAUGCACUGCAAAACGGUAAUAGUUUUAAGACUUUGGUUUUGUUUUAAACACACUCAGUGGGAAAUCGUCCUUAUUGAAGUAGGCAAACAGUCUGAUUUGAUGGUAGUUUUUUGGCUAUGUUCACCUGCACAUGGGGUUUUAACACCUGUUCAACAUGCUGAAGACAUUUUAAGAACAUAUCUGUCCUUCUAUUUUUCAAAUUUACACUGCAGUGGUGGCAUCGACGCACUAAUCCAAUCAAAGGGCUUUUUGCUUUAGCAUGCUAUAUACUACAUUCUACCACAUUUUUAGCCUAUUAUAUUAAUAACACAGUACAUGAUUUCUGUAGUAUACCGUAUCAGAUGACCAAGUACACUUACCAAAAAGUGCAGUAUCCACAUUAUUUUUCAGCACGGAAGUAAGCUAUUUCCUUUGAAUGUGUGAGACUUUUGUUUCAUUAGCUACUAUAGGUAAACUGUAAAACUAUGUGCACUUAAACCAACAUGGUUAUGAUUGCGAUAAUAAACUAAAAUAUCAUUAUAGCAAAUGCCAUUAAAAAUUAGGUGGAAACAGAAGAACAUCCUCCACUGAAUACUAUUGAAUCCCACAAUGCAAUGCAUUCAAACUGAGAUUACUAGAGGAGAUAUCAGCCAUGAUGUUUCUACUCAUUAUUUGAUUGAAUGCUUUUACACAAACUUGGAUUUAAAAUUACCAUAUUUAUACAUAUUUAAUAACCAUAUAAAAAAAAGAAAACAACAACAUCAAUACUCCAUUUUUACUAUGUAGUAAACAGUAUGUUAGUAUUCCAUUCCUAACAUAUACUUACUGAGUGGAUAUUGGAUAAAUCAAAAACCAGCAUCUAAAAUAUUAUAUAUUUGACUGCUGGUGGCCCAGCGAAGACAUGAAGCGUAUAUGUGAGUGAGUGUGUGCUGAUUGAUCUG